CUUGGUCAUUUAGAGGAAGUAAAAGUCGUAACAAGGUCUCCGUUGGUGAACCGGCGGAGGGAUCAUUACAGAGUUGCAAAACUCCCUAAACCAUUGUGAACGUUACCUAAACCGUUGCUUUGGCGGGCGGCCCGGGUCCUUCCCGGCGCCCCUCGGCCCUCGCGGGCGCCCGCCGGAGGUAAACCAAACUAUUGCAUUGUAUGGCCUCUCUGAGUCUUCUGUACUGAAUAAGUCAAAACUUUCAACAACGGAUCUCUUGGUUCUGGCAUCGAUGAAGAACGCAGCGAAAUGCGAUAAGUAAUGUGAAUUGCAGAAUUCAGUGAAUCAUCGAAUCUUUGAACGCACAUUGCGCCCGCCAGUAUUCUGGCGGGCAUGCCUGUUCGAGCGUCAUUUCAACCAUCAAGCCCCGGGCUUGUGUUGGGGACCUGCGGCUGCCGCAGGCCCUGAAAUGCAGUGGCGGGCUCGCUGUCACUCCGAGCGUAGUAGUUACAUCUCGCUCUGGGCGUGCUGCGGGUUCCGGCCGUUAAAAGCCUUAUUUACCCAAGGUUGACCUCGGAUCAGGUAGGGAAACCCGCUGAACUUAAGCAUAUCAAUAAGCGGAGGA
rnacentral:rRNA from 1 species